GCGCCGGGACCCUUCCUCGCGCAUCGGUUCGGCGCCGAGACCCUUGCUCAACGGCUUUGACCUGCCCCCUUCGAUAGGGCCAAUGGGCUUCUAGCAAAGUCCCUUUAAACCAACUC
rnacentral:rRNA from 1 species